rnacentral:rRNA from 1 species
AUGUCUGUCCUGCAACUUCAGGGGCUUUAUGAUAUGACUCAUCUUAGCAGUUUAGCUGAACCUUUCACCUGGGCUGCCAUCGAUUCAUCUCCAAAUAAUAGGAGCCCAGGAGCAGAUGGCUACGCAAAUGAUCUGCUCUGUUUAUCCCAAGAAUUCCUCAAUAAUACAAUUGAUCUGAUCGCCAUUAAUACAGUCUUCAUCACCACGCUCCUGCCCAAGAAAGAAGUGUCUUUUGAAAUCAAGGAUUUCAGGCCUAUCUCUUUGUUGCAUAGUGUUCCUAAGCUGGCUACUAAGAUGUCGGUUCGGCUACAGAGAAAAUCCUAG